GUGGGGAAUCUUAGACAAUGGGCGCAAGCCUGAUCUAGCCAUGCCGCGUGAGCGAUGAAGGCCUUAGGGUUGUAAAGCUCUUUCGUGGGGGAAGAUAAUGACUGUACCCCAAGAAGAAGCCCCGGCUAACUCCGUGCCAGCAGCCGCGGUAAUACGGAGGGGGCUAGCGUUGUUCGGAAUUACUGGGCGUAAAGCGCACGUAGGCGGACUGGAAAGUCAGGGGUGAAAUCCCGGGGCUCAACCCCGGAACUGCCUUUGAAACUCCCAGUCUUGAGGUCGAGAGAGGUGGGUGGAAUUCCGAGUGUAGAGGUGAAAUUCGUAGAUAGUCGGAGGAACACCAGUGGCGAAGGCGGCCCACUGGCUCGAUACUGACGCUGAGGUGCGAAAGCGUGGGGAGCAAACAGGAUUAGAAACCCCGGUAGUCC
rnacentral:rRNA from 1 species